CCUACGGGAGGCAGCAGUGAGGAAUAUUGGACAAUGGGCGCAAGCCUGAUCCAGCCAUGCCGCGUGCAGGAUGACGGUCCUAUGGAUUGUAAACUGCUUUUGCACAGGAAGAAACAACAUUACGUGUAAUGUCUUGACGGUACUGUGAGAAUAAGGAUCGGCUAACUCCGUGCCAGCAGCCGCGGUAAUACGGAGGAUCCAAGCGUUAUCCGGAAUCAUUGGGUUUAAAGGGUCCGUAGGCGGUUUAGUAAGUCAGUGGUGAAAGCCCAUCGCUCAACGGUGGAACGGCCAUUGAUACUGCUAAACUUGAAUUAUUAGGAAGUAACUAGAAUAUGUAGUGUAGCGGUGAAAUGCUUAGAGAUUACAUGGAAUACCAAUUGCGAAGGCAGGUUACUACUAAUGGAUUGACGCUGAUGGACGAAAGCGUGGGUAGCGAACAGGAUUAGAUACCCUGGUAGUCCACGCCGUAAACGAUGGAUACUAGCUGUUGGAAGCAAUUUCAGUGGCUAAGCGAAAGUGAUAAGUAUCCCACCUGGGGAGUACGUUCGCAAGAAUGAAACUUAGAAAGUAGUAGCGNGAGAGAGACGACGACGACGACGAGGAGGAGGAG
rnacentral:rRNA from 1 species